rnacentral:rRNA from 1 species
GUGCCAGCAGCCGCGGUACUACCGGCAGCCCGAGUGAUGACCGAUCUUAUUGGGCCUAAAGCGUCCGUAGCUGGCUACGCAAGUCCGUCGGGAAAUCCACUCGCCCAACGAGUGGGCGUCCGACGGAAACUGCAUAGCUUGGGACCGGAAGGCUCGAAGGGUACGUGCGGGGUAGGAGUGAAAUCCCAUAAUCCCGCACGGACCACCGAUGGCGAAAGCGCCUCGGGAGGACGGACCCGACAGUGAGGGACGAAAGCCAGGGUCUCGAACCGGAUUAGAUACCCGGGUAGUCC